GGUCUUGUUGUUUCAGACAACACAACCCCUUUUCUAUUCAAAUUCAGACAGCUGCAGAGGAGAUUUAUAUUGGAGAAUCAGUGAGAAGAUUAAAUGAAGAGAAAAAAGAUGCGAAUAAAUUCUGUUGCUGCCAUGGAUCGAAGAAGAAAUGAAGAAUUAAUGAACUCAAGGGUUUGUGUCAAUAAAAGUUAAGGUUUUUAACAGAGAGAAUCGAAGGUUUACUGUGUCGAUUUGAUGAAUCAGAGGAUAGCAAUGGAGAUUUGAGUUCUGAUGUGAAUUAAAGAGAUGGGUUUACAGUGGAUGUGUAAUUGGUUCAGUUUAGGGUUCACUGGUUGAAUGUGAUGGAUCUGUUGUGAUGAUUUUCAAGGGUUUCGAAAGUUUUUUGUGUUGAGCAGAAGAAAUGGGUUUUUCUGGUGGUGUGUUCAUAUGAUGUUAAUCUGUGAGAUCUAAAAGAUGGGUUUGAUGACCGUUGGGAAUUGAAGACUUUUGUUGUUGUUGAUUUACAGGGAGAGACUGGAAGAAAUAUGUUAUUGAUGAUGAAUUUGAGAGAUUGAAGCUGAGAUAGUGAUUCGAUGUUGCAGCCAUGGAAGAGUGAACCAGGGUUUGAUGGCAGGUAGAAGAAUGGUUAUCUGUUGGUAUCCUUGAGAAACUGCAGAUGAAGAAUUGAGGGAAUUGCAGGAGCAUUUGUUGUGGUCAAGCUGCUGGUGGUGCUGGAAGCUGAAUGAAUUGCAAUUGUUGCAGAAGUUACAAGGAAGAAGUUGAUUAUGCCGUGGCUAGUGAUUGUGUUGCCGCACUUGGUGAGAUACAAAGAAUGAAUUCUUGAUGCUGAGACAAUGGAGUUGUUGUUGCUGCUGCAAUAUGAUGACUGUCAUGGAUAUGUGGUGUUGGUGAAUGCGGGUGCGGAGAUGGUUCCGAUGGGUUUUGUUAUGAAUGGAAUGAGAAAUGUCGCAGAAUGAAGAGAUGGAGCUGCAGAGAAUGUGAUGUGAAUUGUGGCUGUGUAGGUCAGCAGGACUGAAUAAUGAAAAUAAAGCUAAUGCAAGAGCAGAAUGCAUUACAGGGAAGUGAUAAAGAAGUGAAGCAAACUGAAGUUGGAGUUGCAGGGACGGUGUUGCUUUCCAAGGAGUCUGUGUGAACAUUUGGAGCUGGAAAUGAAUUAAUGAUUAACUAGAUGAAUGUUAGGACAUAUUGUGCAGGGGAGAAGGUAUAAGAAGGCUGGGAGUUUAACAACAACAUCAUGUCUCAGUAACAGCAAAAUGCACAAAGUGCCUGAAUAAAAUCCAGUUCUGUAGAUAUGAUGCGAAAACACAGUGAGAAUGGUAAGAUGGUGGUACUAGUUCCGGUUGAUGGAUUCUGGAACUUGAAGCAUGAAUCUUAAAGUUUCACUGAAUCAUAAAGGGAGAGCGUGUUGGAUGCAAGAGUUGGCCGCGGGAUAUAUGAGUUUGGAGUCGCGCUUUUGAGUGUGUUUCCGCAAGAAUAGGGAAUUAGUUUAAAUGAUUCUUCUUGUGAAUGUUUGAACUGCAGAGAAGUAAAGGUGAGCUGCUAGGAGUAUGCACUUGCUGGUGACAGUUUCUGAUGACAAAGGCGGCCAAAGUCAAUUUUCCGAUGACCAGAUUCCGACGACAGUGACCGGAUUCCGGUGAUGACGUCAGCACUUCGGCGACCCAGUUUUGGACCCAAAAUUUCCAGAAGAGAUGUUUUAACACAUGGGCUUGGUGGACCAAUUGGAGAUGGGUUUUGAGAAGACUUGACCUACUUUUGGAAAAAAUAGAGAGUCCUUUCCCUUCUCGGAUCUUUUCAAUUUGCGGAAUAUAAACGAAAGCACUUGAGCGUUUCUUUUCAUACCGAUCCUCUCAGAGUUGCACUUUUCUUCUUUCAGUGUAUGAUGGAAACUCCUGGUGAUGAUUAUUCCUCUAACUCCCCAGAGAAGGAUUUUGGAGUUAAGAAUCCCAGGAUAACCGCAUUCAAAGAGGUGUUGGCUAAGAUAGAUUGUUUGUUUCGUGAAGCUGGUCAGGCUAUACAGGGUAUGUUCCUCGUGCAUCUGAGAAUCGCUUGAGAGCGUGUCCAAACUUUUCUUGCUUUGGUUAGCAUGGAGGAAAAGUGGAGGCACGAUGAAGCAUCUCAUCCAGCAAGCGCCAGGGCUGAAAGAUUUGUGGCUCGGCUAAAGCGACGAAUGAUUGAGCAUGAACGGCCUCCAAGUGAAAAUAAACAUGAUUACCCUAUUCAUAAUGGCGUCAUAAUCCUCGACUCUGAUAUGGACGAGGAGGAGUAUCCUCAAAAGACUGCUGGAAAGAUUUCUGAACAAGAUGAAGCAGCUCCCGAAGAGGAUGUUGAAGCGGCUUCCAAGGAAUGGGUUGAAGCAGCUUCUGAAAGGGAGAUUGAGGCGGCUUAUGGAGAGGAUGUUGAGGCGGAUUCUGAAAGGGAGGUUGAGGCGGCUUCUGGGGAGGAUGUUGAGGCGGCUUCUAGAGAGGAUGUUGAGGCGGCUUCCAAAGAGGUCUCCACCGAAUGCGCCACUAAUCCCGGUGUUGAUGCAGACAAUUGGAUUUUCCACUUUAUGAUUUUAUUUUGUAGAUAAGUAUCUUCGUAGCUAGCAGAUGCUUCUCUGAUAUUUUGUAGUUUUUUUGCUUUA